AUUGAACGCUGGCGGCAGGCCUAACACAUGCAAGUCGAGCGAGCGGCGGCCGGGUGGGUUAUCUAUGGGGCUCUGCCCGAUAGAGGGGGAUAACUCCGGGACACGGUUGCUAAUACCUCAUCCUAUCGGAUGAACCCAUAUGUUAUUAGCUAGUAGGUGGGGUAAAGGAUCACCUAGGCGACGAUCUCUAGCGGGUGUGAGAGGAUGAUCAGCCAUACUGGGACUGAGACAAGGCCCAGACUCCUACGGGAGGCAGCAGUGGGGAAUAUUGCACAAUGGGCGCAAGCCUGAUAGAGCCAUGCCGCGGGGAUGAAGAAGGCCUGAGGGUUGGAAAGUACUUUCAGCGGGGAGGCGUUACCCGCAGAAGAAGCACCGGCUAACUCCGUGCCAGCCGCCGCGGUAAUAA
rnacentral:rRNA from 1 species